UACGUAGGUCCCGAGCGUUACCCGGAUUUACUGGGCGUAAAGCGUGCGCAGGCGGCCCGUUAAGACAGGUGUGAAAUCCCUGGGCUCAACCUAGGAAUUGCGCUUGUGACUGGCGGGCUCGAGUACGGUAGAGGGGGGUGGAAUUCCUGGUGUAGCAGUGAAAUGCGUAGAGAUCAGGAGGAACACCGAUGGCGAAGGCAGCCCCCUGGGCCUGUACUGACGCUCAUGCACGAAAGCGUGGGGAGCAAACAGG
rnacentral:rRNA from 1 species